UCUAUUUUGAAUAGCAAUAGUUAAAUAAGAUCAAUCAAACAAGAAAAAGAACCGAUCGUCUCUAGCUUAAGUGGCAAAGGGCUUGGUGGUUGGUAUCCAAUGUCCCAAGUUCGAAUCGUAGUUGAUUCACAUUUCUAGCUAAGUUUAUUUCUAAAUUAAAUAAAUGAAGCGGAUAGCAUUCUAUUUAUCUUUCAAAAAAAAAAAAAUCAAAUAAGAAGGAAUUGAAGAACAGGGUUGAAAUCUCCACUUGCAUGUAUAGUGAAAAAUACGUGAAUUAUGCGAGGUUUAAGAUUAACUCUAAUAUCAUAUUAUCAAAAGUUCGGUCUGAUUUAAAAUAGCCCAGUAAG
rnacentral:lncRNA from 1 species